GGGGACGUUACGGAUUCGACAGGGGUAGUUCGAGCUUAAGUCGCGAGUCGAGGGGAUCGGCCUCGUUAAAACGUCAAAGCCUAUAACUGGCAAACAAAACAAUUUCGCUUUAGCAGCUUAAUGCUAAAGGCCUCUCCUACCCAUCGCCCAUGUGGUUAGUUUAGAGAGGUUCACUUAUUAGUGGGCUACGCUGGAGUUCGCCGUCUGAGGGCGAAGGAAGAGAUUAAUCAGACUAGCUACGUGGACGCCCGUCGGUUGGCAUAUACGUUAGCGAAACUCAAAUAAAUCGACUACGCUCGUAGAAGCUUAAGUGCCGAUACUUUUGGACGUGGGUUCGACUCCCACCGUCUCCACCA
rnacentral:tmRNA from 1 species